GAUGAACGCUGGCGGCGUGCCUAAUACAUGCAAGUCGAGCGAAUGGAUUAAGAGCUUGCUCUUAUGAAGUUAGCGGCGGACGGGUGAGUAACACGUGGGUAACCUGCCCAUAAGACUGGGAUAACUCCGGGAAACCGGGGCUAAUACCGGAUAAUAUUUUGAACUGCAUGGUUCAAAAUUGAAAGUCGGCUUCGGCUGUCACUUAUGGAUGGAUCCGCGUCGCAUUAGCUAGUUGGUGAGGUAACGGCUCACCAAGGCAACGAUGCGUAGCCGACCGGAGAGGGUGAUCGGCCACACUGGGACUGAGACACGGCCCAGACUCCUACGGGAGGCAGCAGUAGGGAAUCUUCCGCAAUGGACGAAAGUCUGACGGAGCAACGCCGCGUGAGUGAUGAAGGCUUUCGGGUCGUAAAACUCUGUUGUUAGGGAAGAACAAGUGCUAGUUGAAUAAGCUGGCACCUUGACGGUACCUAACCAGAAAGCCACGGCUAACUACGUGCCAGCCGCCGCAGUAA
rnacentral:rRNA from 1 species